rnacentral:rRNA from 1 species
AUUGAACGCUGGCGGCAUGCCUUACACAUGCAAGUCGAACGGUAGCAGGUCUUCGGAUGCUGACGAGUGGCGAACGGGUGAGUAAUACAUCGGAACGUGCCCAGUCGUGGGGGAUAACUACUCGAAAGAGUAGCUAAUACCGCAUACGAUCUGAGGAUGAAAGCGGGGGACCUUCGGGCCUCGCGCGAUUGGAGCGGCCGAUGGCAGAUUAGGUAGUUGGUGGGAUAAAAGCUUACCAAGCCGACGAUCUGUAGCUGGUCUGAGAGGACGACCAGCCAAACUGGGACUGAGACACGGCCCAUACUCCUGCGGGAGGCAGCAGUGGGGAAUUUUGGACAAUGGGCGAAAGCCUGUUCCAGCAAUGCCGCGUGCAGGAUGAAGGCCUUCGGGUUGUAAACUGCUUUUGUACGGAACGAAAAAGCUUCUCCUAAUACGUGAGGCCCAUGACGGUACCGUAAGAAUAAGCACCGGCUAACUACGUGCCAGCCGCCGCCGUAAGAC